AUUGAACGCUGGCGGCAGGCCUAACACAUGCAAGUCGAACGAGUGGCGGACGGGUGAGUAAUGUCUGGGAAACUGCCCGCUGGAGGGGGAUAACUACUGGAAACGGUAGCUAAUACACCCUACCAUCGGAUGUGCCCAGAUGGGAUUAGCUUGUAGUUGAGGUAACGGCUCACCUAGUCGACGAUCCCUAGCUGGGCUGAGAGGAUGACGAGCCACACUGGCACUGAGACACGGUCGAGACUCCUACGGGAGUCAGCUGUGGGGAAUGUUGCACAAUGGGCGCAAGCCUGAUGCAGCCAUGCCGCGUGUAUGAAGAAGGCGUUCGGGUUGUAAAGUACUUUCAGCGGGGAGGCGUUACCCGCAGAAGAAGCACCGGCUAACUCCGUGCCAGCAGCCGCGGUAAUAC
rnacentral:rRNA from 1 species